ACGGAAGAAAGCAUGGUGCAGUGGCCAGCAGCACGGGCGUAGGUGCAAGGACAGACUGAGGUCUGGAGUUCGAGCUGUUGUACGCGCAAUGGGCUACCAAUUUUGCUGCUCAUGUGGGGGGGAGUUAGAGUUUGACCGAAACUCUUCUUAGCAGCAUGAUGAAGCGGUGGAUAAGGCUGCAGAUCAGUGGUUAGGAGUUUGAAUUAAAUUCAAACUUUGAAUUUGGCCAGGAAAUAGGGAGCUAAGGAAGGAAUUAAAAUUGGAA
rnacentral:lncRNA from 1 species